rnacentral:lncRNA from 13 species
GGAGAAACAGGAACCAGGAGCUGAGGGAAGUAAAGACAACAUGAGGAGCAAGCAUACACACAAGGGAUCCUUGUGUCAACUUUAAGGUUUAAGGUGUUGGUGGUAAUCUCCUGUCUACCCGCUCAGAACCCCCAGAUAGA